rnacentral:rRNA from 1 species
UACGGAGGGGGCUAGCGUUGUUCGGAAUUACUGGGCGUAAAGCGCACGUAGGCGGCGAUUUAAGUCAGAGGUGAAAGCCCGGGGCUCAACCCCGGAAUAGCCUUUGAGACUGGAUUGCUAGAAUCUUGGAGAGGCGAGUGGAAUUCCGAGUGUAGAGGUGAAAUUCGUAGAUAUUCGGAGGAACACCAGUGGCGAAGGCGGCUCACUGGUCCGGUACUGACGCUGAGGUGCGAAAGCGUGGGGAGCAAACAGG